UUCAUCAUCCACGCACAGGCUUAUAUAUAUAUGUAUAUAUAAUAAGAUGGGUUUAUAAGCAUUACUUCCUAAGAGUAUCCUUUCUUAGCACUCUUAAUGGUUCAUUUCAACAAAACCAAAAGUCCUUGUUUGGAGCAGAGCAUCGUUGCGAGUGCUAAUCACCUAGCACGGUGCUUUCCCUGACCAGCCAAUGAGUUUUUUAUCUUGUAGGGACUAAAUUGAAGGCUAAAGGAAAUUUAGGAGCAAAAAUCAUGAAUUUGAAGAUAAAAUGAGACAGCAUGUGAAAUAGGAAAGAAGUGGUGCCAAAAAUACAAAUUGUGGAAGACUUGGGGCCAACAAUUCAAAGAAGAAAUUUUAUAAACAUAAGACUCUAUUUAAAUUUUAAUUAUAUGAGGAUUCUUGUUAAGAAUUAUUAUUUAGAGUUAAUUUCAGCUUUUAUCUUUAUUUAUCUUUAUUUAUCUUUUAGAAUUUAGAUAGGAAUAAAUUAGGUCUUCUGAGUACUAUAAAUAGGGGAUGGAGUGAUAUAAAUUUCACUCAUCUUUUCGGUAAAAAUUCUCUCUCCCAAAAAGCUCUAGCCUUUGUUCCUUUCAUUUAUUCAAUAAAAUUCUAUUUUUUAAGUUUAUUUCUUUUUCUCAAAAAGCAUGAGUCACUAAAUUCAUUUAGCCAAAGUUUGUUGAGAUUCCUCAAAAGGGUUGAUGAGGCUCAGAAUCUGCACUAAGCCUUUUCAACGAGUAUUCAUCGUUUCUCUGUACUACGGGAUUGACGCUUUUGUCCAUGUCCCUUCAAAAGUGAUCUUUUCAUCUUGUGCAAAGACGGCCGCUUUGUUUUUGGAAGGUUACACAAUCGAUUCGUUAGCUUAUUAUGUCAGUGGUUGUCGAGCUCAAGAGACAAAAUGGCGUGGCAUUCGCCAUUGAGAAGUGAUGAUCUAGUGUAAGACAGUCCCACAAAAGCGACGGUUGAUUAGAGUUAGGUUCUCCUAAAUUUUAAGUCUAAAAUCUAAGUGGAGUUGGUGGUUGUAGGUGUCCUCUUCCACUAUAAUUGGCUUAUUCUGUUCGAGAAUGAUCACCUAAAAGCCUAGGAUUGAACCAAAGGAGGAUCAAGAUAAAUGGAGGCACGCUGUUUUUCUUGGGCAUGACUUUACCUGGGAUCUUGAGGAACAAGAACUUGUACAAGUCCAAUCUCUGAGGAUUUGACCCUACUUCCCUUAUACUAUUCUUUUCGUUAAGGAUAGGAUAUUUUGUUGCUUUCAAUGACGCAUCAGUUAAGCUUGUCACUUUGUUCUCAAUUAAUCUCAUUAUUAAGUUCUUUAUGUUUCUA